ACUCCUACGGGAGGCAGCAGUGGGGAAUAUUGCACAAUGGGGGAAACCCGUAGCAUGCAGCCAUGCCGCGUGUGUGAAGAAGGCCUUCGGGUUGUAAAGCACUUUCAGUAGGGAGGAAGGUAGUGUAGUUAAUAGCUGCAUUAUUUGACGUUAGCGACAGAAGAAGCACCGGCUAACUCCGUGCCAGCAGCCGCGGUAAUACGGAGGGUGCGAGCGUUAAUCGGAAUUACUGGGCGUAAAGCGUGCGCAGGCGGUUUGUUAAGCGAGAUGUGAAAGCCC
rnacentral:rRNA from 1 species